rnacentral:lncRNA from 1 species
AUGCCAAAGAAAUGGAAAAAUGAGGACAGAAAAGAAUACUACUACCUGGUUUCUGUGCCCAUAGGUCAAGCUGGAAAACAUUUUUCCAUAAAACCACGUGCAAUUUUAUGACACAGGUGAAAGAAUAGCCCAAAUCCACAAGGAAAAUCACAUGGGAGCUUCAAGUUGUAUCAACUAGUACGCAGGAACAGCAAAAGAGAAGGGCUUCUUCCUGUUUGCGUUUGCUGGUGUGUUGCCUUUCCUCUACCCUUUUCAUCUUCAGCUCUUCUAACUGGUAAGUUUAAUCAACUGACGUUUAACAUAUUUGAUGAAAUAUUUGAUCUAAUUUCUAUUGACAUAAUUACUGCUAUUUGAAACUAAAGUUUUCUUUCUGUUUUUUUUAACAUUGAUUUGUUUUCCACCAUUAUUUUCAUUAUCAUGUAUCAUAUUUCUAUUCUUUCAGAGGUUAUCUUGAAACUUUACGCUAGAUCACUACAUACGUAUUUCUCAUGUAAUUCACUACAUUGAUAAUCCUGAUAAAAAAUACAAAACUCUUAGAAAACCAUUUCCCUUUGCAUAUUUAUGUCAUUACUUUCUGA